AGAGGAAACCAGGCUGGGUGUGCCUGGGACAGGGGAGGGGCCACCUCCUCAGGGCGGUUCUGGGCCCAGACAGGCCGCCCUGGGGUGAGGCGGGGCCAAGAACCACGUGGCACCCAGUGCCAUUCUGGCUGGCAGCCAGGAUGUGGACUCUUGGGAUGGGUGGGGGCCCGUGAGUCACCAGGGGAACUCCUUCCCAAACCACUCCGGCCGGGCCAGGGAGCCUAUCCCCAGCCUCUCCGGGGUGGCCAGCCUGCCUGAGCCCCAUGGCCCGUCCUGCUAGCCACGAGGGCACUCAGGUGGGCGUUUCAGCCAGGACGGGCUGCUUGCUGGCGCUCAGCCAGGAGACACUGCUGCCAGAAAGCAAAACGGUCCCUGCCCCAUGGCCACAGAGCCGGGCCUCGGGGGAGACAGGCACAGGCUUUCUUCCUCGUUUGUCAGUUGGCAGAAAUUAGGGUCUCUCCAUGGAGCGGAGGCGUGAGCAGCUGAUCCCUGUUGCCUGGCGGUUUCUGGAGACCCCGUGGUUUGACACAGCGACCGCCCUUCUGCACACCGCCACCUCUGGCACUUCCUUCCUCCCAGCCUCGGUUUGCUCCUGUUGGGGGAUCAGAGCCCUCCACGAGGGACCCCAGGGCCCUGGACGGUGGGAGGAGCACCUGUGCCUCCAACGGUACUGGCCGUGGAGCAGCUCUGUCCAUGCCUAACUUCAGGCUUCCUCAUCCCUCUGAACAGCACUCACCAUGGCCACUGGAUGGCACUGGCGGCCUUUCUGUGCCUGGAAACCAGGUCCUUCCCCUGGGGCCGGAAGACCCGAAGGUGGUGACAGAUCAGGAGAAUAAGACCGCGGGCUUCUCCCAGCGGCCUGGGAGGGCUCUGCGACCAUGAGGAGGCCCUUCUGGGAGCCCAGAGCUGGCCCCGGGGAUGACUGCGCUGCGAGGACCAGGUCUGUCCUCUCCUGAUUCCUGUCUCGGUCCCAGAGCGCGGAGGAAGGAGCUGUCCACUUUCAAGUGUCUCCUGGGCCCCCACGCCGGCCCCUUGGGGUCAGAGCGCAGGACAGGGCCCCCCGCCCCGUGGAUCCUGCACGUGAGCCGGGUCCGCCCUCUCAAGGACGCAUGGCCCCGAGCCUUCAGGCCAAGGCCCUCUGACCCAGUCUUCCUGGCACGGCUGCUGGGCACAGCCCGCAAGGAGGACCCACCCCUGUCCUCCCGUCUUGCCUCUCUGCUUCCCGGGCUGUCACUGCGCUCAGGGCAGGGUUUCCGUCUCUCCUGCUCAGAACCCUGGCCCAGCCCCUGCUGCAGAAAGGUGGUGGCAAGGGCCAGAAGCUCACUACCUGUCCAUUGAACAAAGGGAUGAAUGAAUGGUAGGGCAAGGAGCCAGCCUCCCGGAGCUGCCUCGGUUCCCCACCCACACGCAGCUGCCUUCAGCCACAAGUGGACGUUUGCCUUCUUGCUUUCUUCCCGGGCCUUUGCCGCAGAACCUGCUGCUAACACGUGUUUGCUGAAUUACGUCCUCCCUUGACAGCAUGACUGUGCCCCUGGUGACCCCCUGGAGGGCCCUGCUGGGUCAGGGCAACCUGGAACCAAAUGGGUUAAAUGUGCAGAGCUCGUCUGCCUCUGUGAAGUUUUGAAUUCCCCCUCACCUCCUGUGCCUGCAGUCACUGUGGGUAGAGAUGGCCCGGAGGAGCCAGCCGGGCGUUCGUGGGGGCUCGAGGCAAGAACUGGGAGUUGGGGGACGUGCUUCGCCGGCCCCUGAGGGCUCACGGUGGCCCACACGGUUCCAGGCACGGAGGAGGCAGCCUGUCCAAGAGGCAUCAUUUCCAGUUGUGCAUGACUGUGCAGAGGAUGUGGGAAAUGCAGAUGUGGUUCUCAGCCCCCAGGGUGGCUCAGUGAAGGCUCCCUGAGGAGCAGGAGGGGAGGGCCCACCUCCGUCUCGCUUCCACUGUCUGGGACCGUCGUGGGAUACCAGGUGAAGACAGUGAGGGAGGAGGCUUGGAUCCGGAGCAAAAGAGAGAGAUCACAAGUAGGCAGAGAGACAGGCAG